UACGUAGGGUGCAAGCGUUUAAUCGGAAUACUGGGCGUAAAGGGCGCGUAGGCGGCCUUCUAAGUCGAACGUGAAAUCCCCGGGCUCAACCCGGGAACUGCGUCCGAUACUGGCAGGCUUGAAUCCGGGAGAGGGAUGCGGGAAUUCCAGGUGUAGCGGUGAAAUGCGUAGAUAUCAGGAAGAACACCCGUGGCGAAAGCGGCUCUCUGGAACGGUACUGACGCUGAGACGGCGAAAGCGUGGGGAGCGAACAGG
rnacentral:rRNA from 1 species